rnacentral:tmRNA from 1 species
GGGGGUGUCCUGGUUUCGACAGGGAUAAAGGGGAUUGCUGAUGCAUGCCGAGGAGAUUACCUACUCGCUAAAAAGGUGAUAUCAAACUUAAACGCAAACGAUAACUUUGCACUAGCAGCUUAGUUCUGCUACGGUCCUGAAAAGUUUUGCCGUCAGGCUUUCAGAAGACCGCCAUAAAUAACGGCUAUAAAUGGCAGAUGUCUGUAAUGUCGUUCGAAAACAAACAGGCUGGUUGAAAAGAUGGGUUUGAUUGUUUUCCUGCUUUUCGACGAGAUCAAAAACAACUAAGCAUGUAGGUUCGGCUUUUGACUUAUCUUUGGACGCGGGUUCGAUUCCCGCCACCUCCACCA